UACGGAGGAUGCAAGCGUUAUCCGGAAUGAUUGGGCGUAAAGCGUCCGCAGGUGGCUGUGUAAGUCUGCUGUUAAAGAGUGAGGCUCAACCUCAUAAAAGCAGUGGAAACUACACAGCUAGAGUGCGUUCGGGGCAGAGGGAAUUCCUGGUGUAGCGGUGAAAUGCGUAGAGAUCAGGAAGAACAUCGGUGGCGAAGGCGCUCUGCUGGACCAUAACUGACACUCAGGGACGAAAGCUAGGGGAGCGAAUGGG
rnacentral:rRNA from 1 species